rnacentral:rRNA from 1 species
UACGAAGGUGGCAAGCGUUACUCGGAUUUACUAGGCGUAAAGGGCAGGUAGGUGGUCUGAUAAGUCUGUUGUGUAAGCUCCCGGCUUAACUGGGAGAGGUCAACAGAUACUGUCAGGCUGGAGUAUGGGAGAGGGUACUGGAAUUCCCGGUGUAGCGGUGAAAUGCGCAGAUAUCGGGAGGAACACCAAUGGCGAAAGCAGGUACCUGGACCAUUACUGACACUCAGCUGCGAAAGCUAGGGGAGCAAACAGG